rnacentral:rRNA from 1 species
UACGGAGGGGGCUAGCGUUGUUCGGAAUUACUGGGCGUAAAGCGCACGUAGGCGGCUUUGUAAGUUAGAGGUGAAAGCCCAGGGCUUAACCCUGGAAUUGCCUUUAAGACUGCAUCGCUCGAAUUGUGGAGAGGUGAGUGGAAUUCCGAGUGUAGAGGUGAAAUUCGUAGAUAUUCGCAAGAACACCAGUGGCGAAGGCGGCUCACUGGCCCGGUACUGACGCUGAGGUGCGAAAGCGUGGGGAGCAAACAGG